rnacentral:rRNA from 1 species
UACAUAGGUGGCAAGCGUUAUCCGGAAUAACUGGGCGUAAAGGGAGUGUAGGUGGUAUUGUAAGUUAUAUGUGAAAGACCAAGGCUCAACCAUGGAAUUGCAUAUAAGACUGCAGAACUAGAGUGGAAGAGAGGUAAGCGGAAUUCCUAGUGUAGCGGUAGAAUGCGUAGAGAUUAGGAAGAACACCAGAGGCGAAGGCGGCUUACUGGCUUCUAACUGACACUGAGGCUCGAAAGCGUGGGGAGCAAAC